rnacentral:tRNA from 1 species
GGCUGGAUGGCGGAGUGGUAACGCAGCGGAUUGCAAAUCUGCUUAGCCUGGUUCGAUUCAGGUCCGGCCUCCA